rnacentral:rRNA from 1 species
CCUACGGGAGGCUGCAGUGGGGAAUCUUGCGCAAUGGGCGAAAGCCUGACGCAGCAACGCCGCGUGGGGGACGAAGGCCUUCGGGUUGUAAACCCCUUUCAGCAGGGACGCGGUACCUGCAGAAGAAGCCCCGGCCAACUACGUGCCAGCAGCCGCGGUAAUACGUAGGGGGCGAGCGUUGUCCGGAUUUAUUGGGCGUAAAGAGCUCGUAGCGGUUUGGCAAGUCGGGUGUGAAAACUCCGGGCUCAACUCGGAGACGCCACUCGAUACUGCCAGACUCGAGUCCGGUAGGGGAGUGCGGAAUUCCUGGUGUAGCGGUGAAAUGCGCAGAUAUCAGAGGAACACCGGUGGCGAAGGCGCACUCUGGGCCGGACUGACGCUGAGGACGAAAGCGUGGGGAGCGAACAGGAUUAAUACCCUUGUAGUC